GGGGGAUAACGUAGCGAAAGUUACGCUAAUACCGCAUACGUACUGAGGUAGAAAGCGGGGGAUCGAAAGACCUCGCGCUCAUGGAGCGGCCGAUGUCGGAUUAGCUAGUUGGUGAGGUAAAAGCUCACCAGAGAAACGAUCCGUAGCUGGUCUGAGAGGACGAUCAGCCACACUGUGUAUCUGAGGCACGGGACUGACUCCUACGGGAGUCAGCAGUGGGG
rnacentral:rRNA from 1 species